rnacentral:rRNA from 1 species
UGGGGAAUAUUGGACAAUGGGCGCAAGCCUGAUCCAGCCAUGCCGCGUGAACGAUGAAGGCCUUAGGGUUGUAAAGUUCUUUUGUCAGGGAAGAUAAUGACGGUACCUGAAGAAUAAGCACCGGCUAACUUCGUGCCAGCAGCCGCGGUAAUACGAAGGGUGCUAGCGUUGUUCGGAAUCACUGGGCGUAAAGCGCGCGUAGGCGGCGAUAUAAGUCAGAGGUGAAAGCCUGGAGCUCAACUCCAGAACUGCCUUUGAAACUAUAUUGCUAGAGUGUCGGAGGGGAUAGCGGAAUUGCUAAUGUAGAGGUGAAAUUCGUAGAUAUUAGCAGGAACACCGGUGGCGAAGGCGGCUAUCUGGACGACAACUGACGCUGAGGUGCGAAAGCGUGGGGAGCAAACGGGAUUAGAUACCCAAGUAGUCCCUGAGCGGGCUGGCAAGGCGCAU